rnacentral:rRNA from 1 species
AACCAACAGGGAUUGCCUCAGUAACGGCGAGUGAAGCGGCAAAAGCUCAAAUUUUAAAGCUGGCAUCUUCGGUGUCCGCGUUGUAAUUUUGUGAGGCAUCUCCGGGUAGGGCGCCGGCCUAAGUUCCUUGGAACAGGACGUCACAGAGGGUGAGAAUCCCGUGCUUGGCUGGCUGUCCCCGUCCAUGUGAGGUGUCUUCGACGAGUCGAGUUGUUUGGGAAUGCAGCUCAAAAUGGGUGGUAAAUUUCAUCUAAAGCUAAAUAUUGGUGGGAGACCGAUAGCGCACAAGUAGAGUGAUCGAAAGAUGAAAAGCACUUUGAAAAUAGAGUUAAAAAGUACGUGAAAUUGUUGAAAGGGAAGCGCUUGAGAUCAGACUUCGGUAGGGGGUGAUCAGCCGUCCUUCUGGGCGGUGCACUUGCCCCUCUCCGGGCCAGCAUCGGUUGAGGCGGCGGGAUAAAGGUCCCGGGAAUGUGGCUCCUUCGCGGGAGUGUUAUAGCCCGGGUGAAUGCCGCCAGUCUCGACCGAGGACCGCACCCGCAAGGGUUAGGAUGCUUGGCAUAAUGGUCUUCAGCGA